rnacentral:rRNA from 1 species
UAGGGAAUCUUCCACAAUGGACGCAAGUCUGAUGGAGCAACGCCGCGUGAGUGAAGAAGGUUUUCGGACCGUAAAGCUCUGUUGUUGGUGAAGAAGGAUAGAGGUAGUAACUGGCCUUUAUUUGACGGUAAUCAACCAGAAAGUCACGGCUAACUACGUGCCAGCAGCCGCGGUAAUACGUAGGUGGCAAGCGUUGUCCGGAUUUAUUGGGCGUAAAGCGAGCGCAGGCGGAAGAAUAAGUCUGAUGUGAAAGCCCUCGGCUUAACCGAGGAAUUGCAUCGGAAACUGUUUUUCUUGAGUGCAGAAGAGGAGAGUAGAACUCCAUGUGUAGCGGUGGAAUGCGUAGAUAUAUGGAAGAAUACCAGUGGCGAAGGCGGCUCUCUGGUCUGCAACUGACGCUGAGGCUCGAAAGCAUGGGUAGCGAACAGGAUUAGAUACCCUGGUAGUCCAUGCCGUAAACGAUGAGUGCUAAGUGUUGGGAGGCUUCCGCCUCCCAGUGCUGCAGCUAACGCAUUAAGCACUCCGCCUGGGGGAGUACGACCGCAAGGUUGAAAC